rnacentral:rRNA from 1 species
UACGUAGGGGGCGAGCGUUAUCCGGAAUUACUGGGCGUAAAGCGCACGCAGGCGGUUCGCCAAGUUUGGAGUGACAGUUGGUGGCUCAACCACCAAAGUGCUUUGAAAACUGAUAGACUUGAGGGCUUCAGAGGGACACGGAAUUCCGGGUGGAGUGGUGAAAUGCGGUAGAGAUCCGGAGGAACACCAAAGGCGAAGGCAGUGUCCUGGGGAGUACCUGACGCUCAGGUGCGAAAGCCAGGGGAGCGGAACGGG